GGAGUAAUAGCUCAAAGGGAGAGCGACAAAUUCAAGUUCCGUAGGAUACCAGUUCGAUUCUGGUUUACUUCA